GGUUUUGAAAAAAACUGACCUAAGACAGUAGGGGAGCAGUGCUCAUAAGAUUCCUACCGAGGCACAAAACGAUAUUCUGAAAUAACGUAUUUGUACUUUCGUGUCUGGGUUUAGGUGCGAUUUUUUUGUGCCUAA
rfam:Streptococcus uberis strain CAIM 1894 contig_022, whole genome shotgun sequence.